UUUCCGUAGGUGAACCUGCGGAAGGAUCAUUACUGAGAGUGGUAGGCUCUGCCUGCGCAUCUCUUACCCGUGUCUUUUGCGUACUCUUUUUGUUUCCUUGGUGGGCAUGCCCGCCAAUAGGACUCUUUAAACCCCUUUGCAAUUGCAGUCAGCGUCUGAUAAACAUACUAGUUACAACUUUCAACAACGGAUCUCUUGGUUCUG
rnacentral:misc_RNA from 1 species